AGGGGAAGCAAUCUGCAGUUGCUCCUGUGGAGGAAAGUGGGUAGGGGGUAGUAGGUGAUUAAGCUUGGCAAGGAGAGAAGGAUCAGUCUGCAGGCAGAGAAUAGAAAGGACUGAAAGUUCACCAAUGGCCAAGACCACUGAAAUGACAAGAAGUAAUUGAGAUAUAUGGAGGGCUGGUCUCCACUACAGGAAGAUCAAUGCUGCUGCAAUCAAUGACCUGCUAAAUUGAUGGCAGAGCACUAUCCGUUGACCCCAGUACUCCACCUCUCCGAGUAGAGUAAGAGCUCUAAAGACCUAUUUUCAAACUGCCUGUGGCAUAAAGUUUCUGGUCUUAUAUCAGUGAAGUCAAUGGGAGCUUUGCCAUCUUGAUGUAUUCUUCCAAGAUUCUGACUGUACGAAGGCUUUAGAAAGACAUUAUAUAUUCUAUCUGGAAUGUGGUAAGAUCUGGUCUUUCACUAUUGUUUUAUGGAAGCACACUUAUCAUUGACAAGAUUGCCCAUUUCACAUGCCUUUUACUUAGCCAUAUCUGAAAAGUAGUGCAAUAAAAAAUGUGACUUGUUUAAUGAACUCCCAGUUUUAAAAUAGAUUCUUUGUUCCUACCAAAUGCCAUUUAAUAACUAGAAAAUAAAUCAAAAUAAUAUUUAAACACAUUAAUAUGUUAGCAAGGAGUUUAAUAAAAUGCUUUUAAAUUGUA